GCACGUGAAACUGUCAGCAGACUUUAGGCAGCGUGAAAGACAGCAGGUCCCAGGUCUCUACAGCAAAACUCAAGUGAGGAGCGGAAUAGCAGAACGCCUUUCACUGUUCGUCAGAAUCACAGCGACAGCCUCACAGGCCUCUGUGCAGGAGCAUGGGUGGAUCGGACAGUGGGCCACAAGCCACACACACACAGACAGAAGCCUCCUUCAGCACGUCCGUAGCCGAUUUUUUUACCUGUGUGCCAGAGUUACCGCACAUGUGUGAAGAGUGGCAGCAGAUUGUGGUGAGACUAAGGGUGUUCUCCUUGGAAGGGGUUUCUCCUAGGUUUCACCAGCUCCUUUGUGAAUGAGCCCUCACUCUCGGUGGGGGACGUGCUCAACAAGGAAGUAAAUGAAGCGCAGAGGACUGGCUGCAGGAGGCCGUUUUCCAGCUGACGUGAAUCACUGUGGCCCAAAGGGAGAAGGGUUCAGGAUCUUCUUUAGAAGUCCUGCUCUCCUUGCUCCCAGGGCCAAGAUGUACAAUAUAUGCCUGCAUUUUUUCAGACAAAAUUGGAUGAAAAUAAUGAGGCUAUUUUUUCAUUAUGAACUUAGCCAACACUGAGAUCUGUUAAAGUGUGACUUACAAGGGAUUCUCAGGCUGAUGAAGAAUCUGUUACUGAAAGAGGAGCUUACUGGGGAAAGGGGUAA